ACUAAAAUACCAGUGUGAACUGGUUAAUUGGUUGAUUCCCGGUCUUUGUAAAUUUAUUUAUAGAGGAAGUCAGUUCAUGGAAAGCCUGUGGUUUUAGAGUGUCAGACACAGACUAGUACAAAUUUCCACUAAAACUCACUGGGUGACUUCUCCCUCCCUCUCUGCCUGACCUCAUACUUUUUUGUGAAGAUAAAUGCAUUUGGUCCUUUGUGGGGGGAGAAGUGGAUCAAUUACGUCAACGUGGUAAACUCCGUCAAACCUUGGAGAGCAGCCGGCAAGCCCUUCGUAUGCGACCGACUCUGGCUGUGGACCAGCUAAAAGGAGAAAUGAAGAGCUGGAAACGGGGACUGAGGACUUCGCUGUUCUGUGCUUCAUUGAACAACCCGCACUAAACAAGAUAAGAGCCCUCCUCUGAGUUACGUUUCCUGUAAUGUGCCGCCUUAUUAAAAAACAACA